ACGGGUGCGUAACGCGUGGGAAUCUGCCCUUUGCUUCGGAAUAACAGUGGGAAACUACUGCUAAUACCGGAUGAUGUCUUCGGACCAAAGAUUUAUCGGCAAGGGAUGAGCCCGCGUAGGAUUAGGUAGUUGGUGGGGUAAAGGCCUACCAAGCCGACGAUCCUUAGCUGGUCUGAAAGGAUGAUCAGCCACACUGGGACUGAAACACGGCCCAAACUCCUACGGGAGGCAGCAGUGGGGAAUAUUGGACAAUGGGGGCAACCCUGAUCCAGCAAUGCCGCGUGAGUGAUGAAGGCCUUAGGGUUGUAAAGCUCUUUUACCAGGGACGAUAAUGACGGUACCUGGAGAAUAAGCUCCGGCUAACUCCGUGCCAGCAGCCGCGGUAAUACGGAGGGAGCUAGCGUUGUUCGGAAUUACUGGGCGUAAAGCGCACGUAGGCGGUUACUCAAGUCAUAGGUGAAAGCCCGGGGCUCAACCCCGGAACUGCCUUUGAAACUAGGUAACUAGAAUCCUGGAGAGGUGAGUGAAAUUCCUAGUGUAGAGGUGAAAUUCUUAGA
rnacentral:rRNA from 1 species